CUACGGGGCGCUGCAGUGAGGAAUUUUGCGCAAUGGGGGAAACCCUGACGCAGCAACGCCGCGUGAGUGAAGAAGGCCUUUGGGUCGUAAAGCUCUGUCAACUGGGAAGAAGUUACAUCAUUUUAAUAGAAUGUUGUAUUGACGGUACCAGUGGAGGAAGCGCCGGCUAACUCCGUGCCAGCAGCCGCGGUAACACGGGGGGCGCAAGCGUUAUUCGGAAUUAUUGGGCGUAAAGGGCGCGCAGGCGGUCUUGUCAGUCAGGUGUGAAAGCCCGGGGCUCAACCCUGGAAGUGCACUUGAAACAGCAAGACUUGAAUACGGGAGAGGAGAGAGGAAUUCCUGGUGUAGAGGUGAAAUUCGUAGAUAUCAGGAGGAACACCGAUGGCGAAGGCAUCUCUCUGGACCGAUAUUGACGCUGAGGCGCGAAGGCGUGGGUAGCGAACGGGAUUAGAUACCCGGGUAGUC
rnacentral:rRNA from 1 species